rnacentral:lncRNA from 1 species
GAUCCAACCUGUGUUCCAGUGCUCCCAAGAUGCUGCUGAUCCCAUUGCCCCAAAGUGGAAACUCCUGGAAUUCUUUGUCUAUAACUCAUUUAAUAAAUUUAAGAGCAUGCAUCAGUGAUCUUCAUCCUCAUAGAAAGUGAACAGCACCCAUUUUAUUUCCUUCACCCAGCCCCACACAGAAAUAGGAUGCCCUUUAAGAUUUUAUCUCCAGCUUUUCUUCAAUUUUAAAGAUAUUUUCCUGGGCCUAGGCUUUUUAAUUUUUCUGAAGCAAAAAUGAAUAAAUACUGUGUCUAUGGUGGAUAAAAAAAGAUAAGUAAUCUUACUAGUUUGCCAAAUAUACACUUCCAAAAAAAAAAAAGGAGGCAUUUACUGUCUUAAGUCAGGCUAAAAAUAAUAUUAUUUUAGGGUGUAUAGGUAAUUGAAGAAAUCAAGUUUUCCCUUCACUUACUAUCUGGAUAAUUGCCUAAUUUUCCCACUGUCAUCAUCCUGUCCUGCUAGUGUUGCUUUAUACACAACCUGGUCUUCCCUUUUGUUGUAUUUAUUUUUUCUUUAAGACACCCUUCAAAUAUUAAAGAAAAAGAGAGAGGCUAUACAAUUUGCAUCAUGACUUAAAACUAUUAGAAGAUAGGAAUUCAGUAGUUGAGACAAUGCGUUUCAAAACUCCAAAAGAUAACAGGUUUAAAGAAAUUGGCAUAUGUUAGUGAUUAUGCAAUCAUUCAUUUCCCACAGAUUUCUUUUUAUAGGAAACUUUGGAAAAUCCCAGAAGAACUGACCGAGUCAUUUCAACCACAACAGGUUUCUUUCAACAUCAAAAUCAUGGGUAGGAGUGGGCGAGGAAUAAUUUUCUUUCUUUUUUUUUUAAAGGCAUGGACAGCCUGGUUCUGAGUGUGCAAAGCUGUGGCUUCCCCUCCUAUAGACGCCUUCUGAACAGCAAAUCUGACUUCCUCCUCAGACCAAGGCAUCCUGAAAACAUCCAAGCAGAGGAAGCAUUUUUUCACCAUGACAUGGGAAAGGGCCACAGAGAUCCAAAUGGAAACGGACAUUUCAUACCAAUGCAUUGGAUGAUAACUGGUACAUCGUCAAGGGACAGAAGUGUCAACAGCUUGUCCUCAGGUCCUCAAGAGUCAUAA